AGCUCGUGUCGUGAGAUUGUUGGGUUAAGUCCCGCAACGAGCGCAACCCUAUUGUUAGUUGCCAUCAUUCAGUUGGGCACUCUAGCGAGACUGCCGGUAAUAAACCGGAGAAGGUGGGGAUGACGUCAAAUCAUCAUGCCCCUUAUGACCUGGGCUACACACGUGCUACAAUGGUUGGUACAACGAGUUGCGAGUCGGUGACGGCGAGCUAAUCUCUUAAAGCCAAUCUCAGUUCGGAUUGUAGGCUGCAACUCGCCUACAUGAAGUCGGAAUCGCUAGUAAUCGCGGAUCAGCACGCCGCGGUCGAAUACGUUCCGGGCCUU
rnacentral:rRNA from 1 species